rnacentral:rRNA from 1 species
AUGAACGCUAGCUACAGGCUUAACACAUGCAAGUCGAGGGGCAGCAUGAACUUAGCUUGCUAAGUUUGAUGGCGACCGGCGCACGGGUGAGUAACACGUAUCCAACCUGCCGAUGACUCGGGGAUAGCCUUUCGAAAGAAAGAUUAAUACCCGAUGGCAUAGUUCUUCCGCAUGGUGGAACUAUUAAAGAAUUUCGGUCAUCGAUGGGGAUGCGUUCCAUUAGGUUGUUGGCGGGGUAACGGCCCACCAAGCCUUCGAUGGAUAGGGGUUCUGAGAGGAAGGUCCCCCACAUUGGAACUGAGACACGGUCCAAACUCCUACGGGAGGCAGCAGUGAGGAAUAUUGGUCAAUGGACGAGAGUCUGAACCAGCCAAGUAGCGUGAAGGAUGACUGCCCUAUGGGUUGUAAACUUCUUUUAUACGGGAAUAAAGUGAGGCACGCGUGCCUUUUUGUAUGUACCGUAUGAAUAAGGAUCGGCUAACUCCGUGCCAGCAGCCGCGGUAAUACGGAGGAUCCGAGCGUUAUCCGGAUUUAUUGGGUUUAAAGGGAGCGUAGGCGGACGCUUAAGUCAGUUGUGAAAGUUUGCGGCUCAACCGUAAAAUUGCAGUUGAUACUGGGUGUCUUGAGUACAGUAGAGGCAGGCGGAAUUCGUGGUGUAGCGGUGAAAUGCUUAGAUAUCACGAAGAACUCCGAUUGCGAAGGCAGCCUGCUGGACUGUAACUGACGCUGAUGCUCGAAAGUGUGGGUAUCAAACAGGAUUAGAUACCCUGGGAGUCCACACAGUAAACGAUGAAUACUCGCUGUUUGCGAUAUACAGUAAGCGGCCAAGCGAAAGCGUUAAGUAUUCCACCUGGGGAGUACGCCGGCAACGGUGAAACUCAAAGGAAUUGACGGGGGCCCGCACAAGCAGUGGAGUAUGUGGUUUAAUUCGACGCAACGCGAAGAACCUUACCAAGUCUUGACAUCCUGCGACGAUGCUAGAAAUAGUAUUUUCCUUCGGGACGCAGAGACAGGUGGUGCAUGGUUGUCGUCAGCUCGUGCCGUGAGGUGUCGGCUUAAGUGCCAUAACGAGCGCAACCCUUAUCGAUAGUUACCAUCAGGUUAUGCUGGGGACUCUGUCGAGACUGCCGUCGUAAGAUGUGAGGAAGGUGGGGAUGACGUCAAAUCAGCACGGCCCUUACGUCCGGGGCUACACACGUGUUACAAUGGGGGGUACAGAAGGCAGCUACACGGCGACGUGAUGCUAAUCCCGAAAGCCUCUCUCAGUUCGGAUUGGAGUCUGCAACCCGACUCCAUGAAGCUGGAUUCGCUAGUAAUCGCGCAUCAGCCACGGCGCGGUGAAUACGUUCCCGGGCCUUGUACACACCGCCCGUCAAGCCAUGAAAGCCGGGGGUACCUGAAGUGCGUAACCGCGAGGAGCGCCCUAGGGUAAAACUGGUGAUUGGGGCU